CAGCCGCCGCGGUAAAACCAGCACCUCAAGUGGUCAGGAUGAUUAUUGGGCCUAAAGCAUCCGUAGCUCGUUUUGUAAGUUUUCGGUUAAAUCCAUACGCUUAACGUAUGGGCUGCCGGGAAUACUGCAUAACUAGGAAGUGGGAGAGGUAGACGGUACUCGGUAGGAAGGGGUAAAAUCCUUUGAUCUAUUGAUGACCACCUGUGGCGAAGGCGGUGUACCAGAACACGUUCGACGGUGAGGGAUGAAAGCUGGGGGAGCAAACCGGAUUAGAUACCCGGGUAGUCCCAGCUGUAAACGAUGCAGACUCGGUGAUGCAUUGGCUUGUGGCCAAUGCAGUGCUGCAGGGAAGCCGUUAAGUUUGCCGCCUGGGAAGUACGUACGCAAGUAUGAAACUUAAAGGAAUUGGCGGGGGAGCAC
rnacentral:rRNA from 2 species